UACGAAGGGGGCUAGCGUUGUUCGGAAUUACUGGGCGUAAAGCGCGCGCAGGCGGCUAUCCAAGUCAGUGGUGAAAGCCCGGAGCUCAACUCCGGAACUGCCAUUGAAACUGUUUAGCUUGAGGACGAGAGAGGUGAGUGGAAUUCCCAGUGUAGAGGUGAAAUUCGUAGAUAUCAAGCGGAACACCGGUGGCGAAGGCGGCCUUCUGGACAGUGACUGACGCUGAGACGCGAAAGCGUGGGGAGCAAACAGG
rnacentral:rRNA from 1 species